AUGAACGCUAGCGACAGGCUUAACACAUGCAAGUCGAGGGGCAGCGGGGGUAGCAAUACCCGCCGGCGACCGGCGCACGGGUGAGUAACGCGUAUGCAACUUGCCUAUCAGAGGGGGAUAACCCGGCGAAAGUCGGACUAAUACCGCAUGAAGCAGGGGCCCCGCAUGGGGAUAUUUGCUAAAGAUUCAUCGCUGAUAGAUAGGCAUGCGUUCCAUUAGGCAGUUGGCGGGGUAACGGCCCACCAAACCGACGAUGGAUAGGGGUUCUGAGAGGAAGGUCCCCCACAUUGGUACUGAGACACGGACCAAACUCCUACGGGAGGCAGCAGUGAGGAAUAUUGGUCAAUGGCCGAGAGGCUGAACCAGCCAAGUCGCGUGAGGGAUGAAGGUUCUAUGGAUCGUAAACCUCUUUUAUAAGGGAAUAAAGUGCGGGACGUGUCCCGUUUUGUAUGUACCUUAUGAAUAAGGAUCGGCUAACUCCGUGCCAGCAGCCGCGGUAAUACGGAGGAUCCGAGCGUUAUCCGGAUUUAUUGGGUUUAAAGGGUGCGUAGGCGGCCUUUUAAGUCAGCGGUGAAAGUCUGUGGCUCAACCAUAGAAUUGCCGUUGAAACUGGGGGGCUUGAGUAUGUUUGAGGCAGGCGGAAUGCGUGGUGUAGCGGUGAAAUGCAUAGAUAUCACGCAGAACCCCGAUUGCGAAGGCAGCCUGCCAAGCCAUGACUGACGCUGAUGCACGAAAGCGUGGGGAUCAAACAGGAUUAGAUACCCUGGUAGUCCACGCAGUAAACGAUGAUCACUAGCUGUUUGCGAUACACUGUAAGCGGCACAGCGAAAGCGUUAAGUGAUCCACCUGGGGAGUACGCCGGCAACGGUGAAACUCAAAGGAAUUGACGGGGGCCCGCACAAGCGGAGGAACAUGUGGUUUAAUUCGAUGAUACGCGAGGAACCUUACCCGGGUUUGAACGCAUUCGGACCGAGGUGGAAACACCUUUUCUAGCAAUAGCCGUUUGCGAGGUGCUGCAUGGUUGUCGUCAGCUCGUGCCGUGAGGUGUCGGCUUAAGUGCCAUAACGAGCGCAACCCUUGCCACUAGUUACUAACAGGUAAAGCUGAGGACUCUGGUGGGACUGCCAGCGUAAGCUGCGAGGAAGGCGGGGAUGACGUCAAAUCAGCACGGCCCUUACAUCCGGGGCGACACACGUGUUACAAUGGCGUGGACAAAGGGAGGCCACCUGGCGACAGGGAGCGAAUCCCCAAACCACGUCUCAGUUCGGAUCGGAGUCUGCAACCCGACUCCGUGAAGCUGGAUUCGCUAGUAAUCGCGCAUCAGCCAUGGCGCGGUGAAUACGUUCCCGGGCCUUGUACACACCGCCCGUCAAGCCAUGGGAGCCGGGGGUACCUGAAGUCCGUAACCGCGAGGAUCGGCCUAGGGUAAAACUGGUGACUGGGGCU
rnacentral:rRNA from 1 species